GGCUGGGCCGAAGGUAGUGAGUUAUCUCGAUUGAUUGCCCACAGUCAGUUACAGAUGGAACUCCUUCCUCUACUCUUUCCCCAACCCUCACUGCUGCACUUGACUAGUCUUGA
ensembl:misc_RNA Y_RNA Y RNA